rnacentral:tRNA from 1 species
GCCUGGGUGGCUCAGUCGGUUAAGCAUCUGCCUUCAGCUCAGGGCGUGAUCCCAGCGUUAUGGGAUCGAGCCCCAUGUCAGGCU